GAGAGGAGCUGAGGCGCGACGUCGCUUAUCUGGUGGACAGAACUAUUUAAUCAUCACGUCCUGAAGAAAGAAAACAUUCUUACAUUACCACACUCAGAGUGACAAGGAGGACCAGAGGACUGGCUGUCAGCUAAAGCCUGAACUGAGAGCGAGGUGAUUUUCAAAGUUUUGACUUCACCAAGCCUAUUUGAACAAGAGCGCUUCUCAAAACCCUUUUACUCUACCAACAUGUGAGAUUUAUAUGCAUUAUAAAGAAAAGUCUCAUGUCUUGACAAUGUGAU